CUAACACAUGCAAGUCGAACGGUAACAGCAGAGCUUGCUCUGGCUGACGAGUGGCGGACGGGUGAGUAAUAAAUAGGAAUCUGCCUAGUAGUGGGGGACAACGUGGUGAAAACCACGCUAAUACCGCAUACGCCCUACGGGGGAAAGCGGAGGAUCUUCGGACUUCGCGCUACUAGAUGAGCCUAUUUCUGAUUAGCUUGUUGGUGAGGUAAUGGCUCACCAAGGCGACGAUCAGUAGCUGGUCUGAGAGGAUGAUCAGCCACACUGGGACUGAGACACGGCCCAGACUCCUACGGGAGGCAGCAGUGGGGAAUAUUGGACAAUGGGGGCAACCCUGAUCCAGCAAUGCCGCGUGUGUGAAGAAGGCCCGAGGGUUGUAAAGCACUUUCAGCAGUGAGGAAAUCUUUACGGUUAAUACCCGUGAAGCUUGACGUUAACUGCAGAAGAAGCACCGCUAACU
rnacentral:rRNA from 1 species